rnacentral:lncRNA from 1 species
UAUAGGCAUUGAUGCAUUUGUAAUGUGGUCGUUCACCGAACGACCGACCACUAAGGUUUUGUACGGGAGUUUGGAGGAAACACAAACUUACAGUUUUCCAUCCAUCUGGAUCUAAAAAGGAAGUGACCUUUGUGUUAAGGCCAGGAAUUGGCCCUGGUUGCAGAGUGAUCUCCCCUCCAAGCUCUUGUGUGACUAGGUUGACUACAUCAGCACUCUUGUAGACAUCAUCAGUACCAAUGGCAAUCUGUUAUAGACACAUGAAACAUAUUUUACCAUCAAUGGUACAUAAACACGAAGAAAGCUAGUUUAAGCUUCAAGGUCAUAUAAUUUAACUUAUGAACUAACCUGUGCAUAAGCAGUUCCCUUAGAGUAUUCGGUGACACCAUAAUUAUAUGUCAACUCCAACACAGUUGCGUCGUCCUCCUCUUUAUACCCAAGUAUAGCAAUAGUGUACUGUAGGACAUGCAACAAAUUAAAACAUGUGUUUCUAUUGUAGUUGUAUAAUCUAUGCUUUCUGAUUAGAAUGUCAGUCACAUUGCAAAGAAAAAGGCAUGAGGAAACAUCACCUUGUUCUCAGGAUUAUCAACCUUCCUCACCACCUUCAAGCCCAAAGCCUAUGUAAAUAUGAUCCAUAAGAACAUAUAUAGCAUCGGUUAAUAAACCACAUUUGGUUUAAAUAAUGCAUAAUUAAAUCAUAACUCAUCAAAUACAAUUCUCUGAUUCUAUUUUGUACAUACAACCAAAAGCUAUCAAAUAGUACAAGUACUAAUCUUGACUCUUCGCACACAGGAAAUCAUAUCAUACUUGUUCUUCCUAGAAUAUCUUCGAUUGUUACCUUUUCAUAAAACUUUAUGGCACGUUCUAAAUCACCAACGCGAAGACUUAUUUGACAGAAUGGGUCGUGAACUAUAGGUCUUUGGACAAGUGCAAAAGUGUAGCCAUCAGGAUCCUUCACAAAGGCAAUAACAGUUGUCCCACCUUGAACUGGACCAGCCUCCCUUGUGAUAUUUCCACCUUUAGCACGAAUGUGCUCAACCAAUUUGUAAACCUAAAAUAAAAAUUGAAGCAAUGUUAAUUACAAUGUUCAUUCUCUUCACAAAUCACAAGCUUAUGUGAAGUUAGAAUACUCUUGUCUUACAUCUUGAGUUGCAAUUGCAAAAUGUCCAAAGCCAUCUCCAACAUCAUACGAAGUCACCCCAUAAUCUAACAAUUAAUAAAAUCGUAUAAUUAAACAGUUUACAAGAAUUCAAAGAAAAUAAAUCCAUGUAGUAAAAAAAAAAUAGUGAUAAUUAGGCUAGCAAAAAUAACAAUAGGAGUUAAAUAUGUUUUUAUUUCUUAUAAAAUUCAUCCAUACAAAAAGUCCUUAGAAAAUAGACGAUUUUUCAAGUUUAGUCCUAUUUUGCUAGACUGAAACACUCAUUUUUGUCCAAUAAAUACAAUUCAAAUGAUAAAAGACUAGAGAGACAUUUGAUCUGUUGGGAGAGAAGGUUAUAAUUCACGAUUUUCCGUUUCUCUGCACUUAGUGUAUGAGUUUUGUCACUAAGCUCUUUGAAAACACCCAUCUUGUGUAAGUGACUAAAAACAAUCACUUUUUGCAACAAAAAAAAAAGUGUUUUAGUCGAGCAAAAUGAGUAAACCACCAAAUUGGUCGUGUCUUUAUAAGUCACUUUCAAUUUAGUCACUGACUCUAUUAAUAUUUCAAAAUAGUCAUUGUCUUUGUCAAAAGUUUUUCAAUUAAAUCUCUUAUCAUGUGACAAAAAAAGAAGAGAAAGAAGUCUAAUUGAGAAACUUUUGACAAUAUUUCAAAAUAGUCAAUGUCUUUGUCAAAAGUUUCUCAAUUAAGUCCAUAUCCAUGUGACAAAAACAUAGAGACGGGGAAUUAAUUGAGAAACUUUUGACAAAGACACAGACUCUUUUGAAAUAUUAAUAGAUUCAGAGACUAAUUUGAGAGUCACUUGUAAAGACAUGGACCAAAUUGGUGGUUUGCUCCAAGCAAAAUAGGGGACUAAAAUUGAACAAAAUUUAUGUAGGACGACUAUGUGUUAAUUCAAGGUUUAAAUAUGCAGUUUUCUCAUUGCAAUUUUGGCCUUCUAAUAAAAAAAUAAUAAUAAUUCAUCUAUCUUUAGAGAAAUGUACUCUUGCCUGUAUCCCGAGAAGUCAUUUGGUUGAGAGAAACUCUCUUCAACCUCAAGGAACUCGGUUCGAGACUCGACACCAAGAAAAAUAUGCUCUUUUGACCCUCUAACUUUAGGAAAAUAUGUUUUUUUACCCUUUAUCUUUAGGGAAAUAAGAUAUUUCGACUCUUUAUCUUUACAAAAAGUUGCGAUUUUGGCCCCAUGUUCUUCUCAUCAGCUUUGCAGCGUUUUAUAAAAUUAAGUGGUAAAAUUUAUUAUUUUUUUUUUUAAGGGCCAAAAUCAAAAUUGUUAAGGGAUCACAAAUGCAUUUAUGCCUUAAUUCAAUUUAUAAAAUUUACAUAUAUAGGAACUAAGCUUAAACAGGAACUAAAAUAAAAACAUAAUUAAUCUUUUUUUUUUAACAAAUCAAAAUGAUAUAUAUAAUAAACAACGGUGAAUCACCCCACACAAGGCGUGCAGAAAGAGAAACACUUGCAAAUAUUUACAAAGUGAGAGUCCGACAAUUAAAAGCACCAACCAAAACAAUGAAACUAAAUUACACACAAAUGCCCAUAAAUAAUGAAGAGAAAUAAUAAAUAUAAAAAGGAAAUUAAAGGGUGAGUAGCUAAGUAACAUACUAUAUGUUAAUUCAACAGCAAAAUGGGAAUGUUCAUCACCAAAUCCAACAAAAGCGUUGGCAUAUUUCUCCUCAGGAACAUCUCUCUGCCUCAAAAGUUUCAUCCCAAGAGCCUCAGUAUAAAACCUGAAAGAACCAUAUCCAAGACAUGAAUAUGAAUAUGAAUAUGAAUAUGAUUAUGAUGAUGGUUUGUAUUUUAAGCAUGCAAUCAAUAAUCUAACAAAAGUUAAACAUACUUAAUGGUGCGUUCAAGGUCACCAACACGAUAAACAACAUGAAGCAAACGACGGUUGUCUUUCUUUGGCCAUUCCAAAUCAAUCUCAGCCAUCUGCAACACAAGCAAAAUCAAUUAAGGCAAUAAAACAGUGCAACACAAACACAUUCACAUAACCAAACCAUAAAUAAGCUCAAAAACAUGCAAUCAGCCAAGAUAAACGUGUUAACUAACCACUGAACAGAGGAGUGAGUGAGUGAGGGAUGUCUGUUGGUAAGGAUAAAUAUCUUAUCGCUAGUUUUUCUAUAUUUUAUGAGAAAUUAUAUUUAAACAACCAUUUUUUGUCAACUUUUAUUAUAAUUUUCUCUCUCAUAUUCACAUUGUCCUUUUACUUUCUCUCUUUAUUACUUUGAUUUUUGUGUCACUAUCUAAAUCCAUUUAUAUAAUUUAGUUGUAUAAGAAGUUAUCACAAUAAAGGAUUGUUCAAAUAACAUUGCUCAUUUUUUUUUUUUUAGAACAUUGCUCAUAUUUUAUUAUCAAAAAAGUUCACACCAAGUAUAAAAAAAUAUUAUUUUAUAAGCCAACGUGUCAAACGUAGCACCAUGCCACCAUCAAUUAUUUCAAAAUAUAAUUAUAUUGUUAUCAAUAUAAACGUUUCUCAAAAACGGCUGAGGUAUUUUAAAAGUGAUUGAUAUUUUUUUUCGUUCAGUUAGUCUAAUGGUUAGAAUUCAUCUUAUAAGGUGAAUAUAGGAUGUUCGGGAUUCGAACUCCGACCCCUGCAUAUAAUAAUGCAUUGUUCUACCAACUGAGCUAUGCUCACGGGAUAAAAGAUAUGAUAUUUAAACAACAUUUGAGACAAUUUUUAUGAUAAUUUUUUUCUAUAAAAAAAAAAAUAGAGAGAAGAAAGGAAAAGAAAAUAUAACAUAUGUGUUACAGAGUUAUUAAAAAAUUAUGUAAAAAUAUCAUUUCUCAAAUAUGAACUAGACUCACGCAACAGAACAAAACUUGUUUUAAGCUUCGGUUGGGAUCGGUGUUGACAUACUCGAGUGGAGAAAACAUAUGAAAAUAAUGGAGGUAAAUUUACAACAAUAUUUAAGGAGAGUUCUUAUUUACCAUAAGAAAAUGUUGGAUACGGAACUCUAACAAUAAAAUUCACCUUAAAGUAGUUGAAUUCCCUCAAAAUAUUAUAUUUCCUCAAAACAUUCAUCCAUCCAAACACACUCUAAAGAUGGUAAUUUUAAUGAAUGAAUGAUUUUGAAUAGUGAUUGAUUGAUGGAAACCAUCCAUUAAAAAAAAUGUUCUUUAAAAAAAUCCACUCUAAUCUAUUCAUAUAGAACUAUUUGCUUAAUCGGUUUGGAGAUAUAACAGGUAGAUGUAAGACUUUAUUAGUAAUCCACAGUAAUUAUUAUGUGUUUUAUGUCAGGAGGCAAAAAAAUAGGGUAGCUCAUAACAUUGCUAGAGUUUCCUUAUCUCAUCUCAGUGCUAAGUCAAUAAUUGUAGGUUUUUAAGUGUUUAUUUUAGUAGAAUUUUAUGUGUUUUAAUUUCUUUUUAGAACUUUGGUACUUCAAAUUUGUUUUUUAUUUAUUUAUUUUCAGGAUCACAAAUGAUGGAUGAUCAAGUCUUUGAACAAAAGAAUGGAUUAAGAUGCAUGAUUGAAGCUUGUUUGAGAUGAAAGCUAAAAAGAGGGAAAUUUUGUCAUAUUUAUGUGCUGAUUUUGUGCAUAUUUAUGUUCUCAUUUGGUGCAUAUUUAUGUGCUGAUUUAGUGCAAAUUUAUGUUCCGAUUUAGUGCUAAUUUAUGAUGUUCCUCUCGCUAUGAAUUGAGGAGCCAUCGGACUUGUUUAUUCAUCUUUGAAUCUUGGGAAUUCUCUACGACAAUUAUUUCUUUUGAAUCAAAGUUCUUUUAUUUUCUUGUUCUUUAUAAUUCUGCACUCUUACUUUCAGUUGUUUACUCUCAUGUAUUUCUUCUCCAUCUCUUUAAUCUCUUUGUCUACGAUGAAUAUGAGUGAGUAGAUUUCCUUGUUUUGGGAUUGUUGGAUGAGUCUAAUGACUUAAUUCCUAUCAAAUCAAGCCUAGAACCCUAAUCUUAUUUAAAUCUAUUUUCUAAUCUAAUUUCAUCGUUUUCAAACUCAGUAACAAGUAUUAAACGAAGGACCGAAAUGUGAAGUUUGAUAGUUGUUAGAGCAAUGAUAUUUGUACACCUAUUCCAUAACAACUUUAGUGAUAACCUUGUUUUUCUCUCUUCUUAUUGGUCAAAAGCAAUGGAGAGAGAAAAAGGAAGAGAGAGGAUAAGAUCAUCAUGUGAGUAUGAGAGAUAAAGUUGUACAAAAGUUGUCACAAAUUGGUUGUACAAAUAUCAUUUCUCUAGUUGUUAUUUCAUCAUCUCAAAUAUCAAACGAAGGAUCGAAAGAUGAAGUUUGAUAUUGGAACAAAUGAAAUUAGACAAGACGACACAAAACUUGAUGGGAACACCCCAAAUGAAUAGUCUUGUGAAGUAUUGAGGCAAUAAGUUUCGCUAUUAAAGGGUUUCAAUAACAAUCAACCAUGAGAGUAGGCGUGAUUGUUAUUGAAACACAAUCAUGGAUUCUGAAAGGAACCAUGAAAUACAUUAGAGAAACUUGUCUUUAGAAACGGAUUUAAUUUUAGAGGAAAAUAUAGGUUUGGAUUGUGAGUAAUUUGUCAUUAUGAUGAACCAAUAAUUCCGAGACGCUUUUUAUUAUUUUAUAAACACCAAAUUUGCUAAACUUCUAAACCUUAAACUUUUCAGCUUAUCACAAUUGAAAAGAAAAUCAAUAAUUACAAUAACUCCCUGCGAAACUAUACCUUUACUACUUUGAUAAAACCGUGCACUUGCGGAUUUUACACAUCAAGUUUUUAGCGCCGCUGUCGAGGAGUUAGUAAUAUUGAUUAACUUUUUAGCAUCGGUUAGACUGAAUUCCCUUUUUUUUCCUUUUUUUUUUUUUCUUUCAACUUUUGGAGUUUUUAAUUCUAGAAUACGAAGAACCAAAAGUCUUAGAGAAUUUGUUCCUGAGAUUGAGAGGUUCUUCGACGAAAGAAGAAGAAACACACAAAAACAAAAACGAUAUGGCUGAGGAACGCACUCCUAGAGAGUAUGCAACCCCAUCUAAGAAGCAGAGGAGUACCCCCAUCGACCCCGUUGACAUCCUUAGGUGUUGUUUGGAAUUUGCAUAGUACCUCCAAUGUUGUUUUUAAUCCGUUUAAUUACUCACUCACACUUGAACUAAAAUAAGUGGGAGUUAUUAGUUCAACUUCAAUUAUAAAUGGAUUAAAUGAAUGAUUUAUAGUAUGUAACUUAUAUAUAUUCCAUACACUUUUAUAUGAAUGCAUAUAAAAUAGAAGUAAUGGAUUAUGGUUGCUUUCGUCUCAUUCCUCCAAAUUGGGAUGAGAUGUGGUUCCAUUGCUAAAAGAAACUCAAUAUGUGACAGAUCAUAAAUCAAAAGAUUAAUAAUAGUAGUAGAUUAACAUGCAGAAGGAGUGUGUUAAGUGUGCUUUAAAAUAGAUUAUUACACAACCACAUGAAAGUAAACACGAUAAUAAACAUAAUUGAUCGUCGAUAAACAUUGCGAGACCGUUUUAUUGUUCACACAAGCACUACCCUAGUGUCACUACCUAGGACUGCUACUUAUUUCUUGUUAGCUCGCUCUUCACUCCAGUUCCUUCAGGAAAUCUUCAUUGUCAACUAACACCUACACACAAAAAAUUAACAUGAUGUUAGAAACCUCUAGGCAUUGAUGCAUUUGUCAUGUGGUCAUUCACUGACCGAACACUAAGGUUUUGUACGAGAGUUUGGAGGAAAGGGAAGGUGAGGAAUCUGAGGAUAACAGGAGAAAGAAAGAUUAUGAGAAUUUGAAAAUAAAUAUACAAUUUUACAAAAAUGAGGAUGGAAGUAAAGAGGCUUUCCACAAAUACAAUUAAAUAGAUAUAAAUUGCAAUCAUACUCUUCAAUAGAAGCAAAGGGAAAAAUGAACUUACAGUUUUCCAUCCAUCUGGAUCUAAAAAAGAAACGACUUUUGUGUUAAGGCCGGGAAUUGGCCCUGGUUGCCGAGUGAUCUUCCCUCCAAGCUCUUGCGUUACUAGGUUGACUACAUCAGCACUCUUGUAGACAUCAUCAGUACCAACAGCAAUCUGUCAUAGACACAUGAAACAUAUUUUACCAUUAACAGGACAGAGCUGCGCAGAAAGCUAGUUUAAGCUUCAAGGUCAUAUAAUUUAACUUAUGAACUAACC